rnacentral:rRNA from 1 species
CUGAAUUUCGAAGGAAUGCAUAUUUAUCAAGGCUUUGAUUAUGCUUUUUGAAGUACUGACGUAGAAUCUAGGAGGUACUCCGGGGAUAACAGGCUGAUACCGCCCAAGAGUUCAUAUCGACGGCGGUGUUUGGCACCUCGAUGUCGGCUCAUCACAUCCUGGGGCUGAAGUAGGUCCCAAGGGUAUGGCUGUUCGCCAUUUAAAGUGGUACGCGAGCUGGGUUUAGAACGUCGUGAGACAGUUCGGUCCCUAUCUGCCGUGGGCGCUGGAGAAUUGAGGGGGGCUGCUCCUAGUACGAGAGGACCGGAGUGGACGCAUCACUGGUGUUCGGGUUGUCAUGCCAAUGGCACUGCCCGGUAGCUAAAUGCGGAAGAGAUAAGUGCUGAAAGCAUCUAAGCACGAAACUUGCCCCGAGAUGAGUUCUCCCUGAGACUUUAAGUCUCCUGAAGGAACGUUGAAGACGACGACGUUGAUAGGCCGGGUGUGUAAGCGCAGCGAUGCGUUGAGCUAACCGGUACUAAUGAACCGUGAGGCUUAACCUU